UACGUAGGGUGCAAGCGUUGUCCGGAAUUAUUGGGCGUAAAGAGCUCGUAGGCGGUUUGUUGCGUCGGCUGUGAAAUCCCGAGGCUCAACCUCGGGUCUGCAGUCGAUACGAGCAAACUAGAGUGUUGCAGGGGAGACUGGAAUUCCUGGUGUAGCGGUGAAAUGCGCAGAUAUCAGGAGGAACACCGAUGGCGAAGGCAGCUCGCUGGGACGGUAUUGACGCUGAGGAGCGAAAGCGUGGGUAGCAAACAGG
rnacentral:rRNA from 1 species